rnacentral:lncRNA from 1 species
UCUUUAUGUGUCCUAAAACACCACAAAUAUGACAAGUUUUGUUAGCCAAAUUAUUUUUAGGAGAGACGAACUUACCAUAAAGUUUAUGAACAGCAGUUGACGAGUUUCCAUCAUCUUUCUCCGUUACUUGAUCAAUAUAUGUCCGUUCAUAACCAAGUCCAAGUUUAUUUGUUUGACCAAGUCCAAGCAUCUUGUCUAGUUUGCUCGAGCCAGACGAAAAUUGGUUCAAAUCCGACUUCAGUUGAAUGAUCGUCUUGGUGAAUUCCAUAUUUGCUUCUCUAGCUUCUGAGUUUUGCUUGGUAAGAAAAUUGAUGUUCUCCACCUGAGUCUCUUUUUCUUUUUCAAGUAACGAACACUUCUCAAGUAAGGAGUUGUAAGCCUUGG